rnacentral:piRNA from 1 species
GAAGGCAGGACUGAGUGAGGAAG